GAAGCUGACCAGACAGUCGCCGCUUCGUCGUCGUCCUUUCGGGGAGACGGGCGGAGGGGAGGAAAGUCCGGGCUCCAUAGGGCAGGGUGCCAGGUAACGCCUGGGGGGGAAAACCACGACCAGUGCAACAGAGAGCAAACCGCCGAUGGCCCACGUAAGUGGGAUCAGGUAAGGGUGAAAGGGUGCGGUAAGAGCGCACCGCGCGGCUGGUAACAGUCCGUGGCACGGUAAACUCCACCCGGAGCAAGGCCAAAUAGGGGUUCAUAAGGUACGGCCCGUACUGAACCCGGGUAGGCUGCUUGAGCCAGUGAGCGAUUGCUGGCCUAGAUGAAUGACUGUCCACGACAGAACCCGGCUUAUCGGUCAGCUUCACUU
rnacentral:RNase_P_RNA from 2 species